CGCGUAGGCGGGAUAUUAAGUUAGGUGUGAAAACUCCAGGCUCAACUUGGAGGUUGCACUUAAAACUGGUAUUCUUGAGGACAGGAGAGGAAAGUGGAAUUCCUAGUGUAGCGGUGAAAUGCGUAGAUAUUAGGAGGAACACCAGUGGCGAAGGCGGCUUUCUGGACUGUAACUGACGCUGAGGCGCGAAAGCGUGGGGAGUGAACG
rnacentral:rRNA from 1 species